rnacentral:rRNA from 1 species
UGUAUGUCACUAACGACUACGCUGACAAUAUUGAUAGCACAUUCCGUACUGUGAUAAAUGAACAUGUUGCCCAUUAUUAUUAUAAUAGUGGUGUCAUAUGUUUUAACAGUUCGAGUUUGUUGCAAGAUGUGAUAUUAAUAUUUCAAUAGUGCAAAAUUUGAAUUCGUUUCAUUUUUUGCAAUGAUGUCAGUGUAAACGUUAAUCACCUCUCCGACCCGUCUUGAAACACGGACCGAGGAGUGUAACUUGUACGCGAGUCAAUAGGUGUGAUAAACCUAAUGGCGCAAUGAAAAUGAAGACACGUGUAAACGGUUGACAUGAGAGAUAUUUUUCUAUAUGUGUAUAUAGCAUAUAGAAAGUAUUGCAUCAUGGCCCUGUCUAAUCUGCAUGCAGAUGGGCAGAGGUAGAGCGUACAGGUUGCGACCCGAAAGAUGGUGAACUAUGCCUGAGCAGGAUGAAGUCAGAGGAAACUCUGAUGGAGGUCCGUAUCGGUUCUGACGUGCAAAUCGAUCGAUAGACUUGGGUAUAGGGGGCGAAAGACUAAUCGAACCAUCUAGUAGCUGGUUCCCUCCGAAGUUUCCCCCAGGAUAGCUGGAGUUCAAAUAUAACAAUAUAUACAUAUACGGUUAUAUCCGGUAAAGCGAAUGAUUAGAGGGAUUGGGAUCGAAACGAUCUCAACCUAUUCUCAAACUUUCAAUGGGUAUGUUGUCACAGUUUCUUAUGGUGUCCUAAUGAACUGUUGACAUGAACGUGAGCUCCAAGUGUGCGAUUUUGGUGAAGCAGAACUGGCGCUGUGGG